ACUGGAAGUCAGUUCAGUACUUGGGCGAUGGCUGCCUCUGGUGUUCUGGUUCAGUAUGCUUCGUUACAGUGAGAGGUUUAUUGACCAUGUAUGACCAUGUAAAUAGGAGUGUGAAAAAUAUUUACUCAGACAAGACGACCAAACCACAGUGGUGCUCUACCACUUCCAAGUUUCUUGCUUAAAAGUCAAGAGGACUAGACAAUGCACAGGACUUCCUAUUUUUCUCAGUAAAGUGUUAUUGGUGCUGUGAAAGAACUUCAUCUUGCUUUUGUAUUUGUUCUUCACUCAGUACCAAGAUCUCUAUCAAGUACAGAGAGAGGACGGUUCUCUGGGCGAAAUGAGAAUACAGGUCAUUAUUGGAGUCCUGUUGAUUUACACCCAAGUUGCCAUGGGUUCACUGUUUCAGGAUCAUGUUUUCUGUAGAUUUAAUCAGAGUAAUCAGUGUUAUGUAGCUGUGGGACAACCUCUGCACCUGCAAAUGCCCCAGGAGGAUGGGUUUGACCUAAAGACCACUGGUUUAAUUUUAAGAUAUAGAAAAAACCAAAGUCCCCCACCAACACCACGUCUCCCAAGAUGGCAGUUUGUUAAUGAUAAUAAAACUAUGAUACUAACCAGUGCAGAGAGCAGCGACUCUGGAACAUACACUUUAAUCAUCUUUGAUGUAAACGGGAAAGAUAAAAGCAGUUCUACUCUCCAGGUGAACACUGAAGCCAGGGUGUCCUCAGUGGAAUUGUCCUACAGCUGCUUGUUCUCUGAGGUCAGGAAAGUGUACUGUUCUGCUGAUGGAGACAACCUCCGCUUCAACUGGACUUCUGAUUCAAUCACUCGAUUGGAGGAUGACAACAAAACUCUCGUACUGGAUAAAAAGCAUAAUGACAAAGUCACCUGUCAUGUCGAAAAUCACGUCAGUCAGAGCCAAAAUUCCACUGAACUCCCAGAAUGUGCCGGGGGAAAUUAUGGAACAGGAACAGGAGCUGCUGUUUCACUGCCCGUCUCUGUAUUAACUGAACAGCAGGCACCCCUCCUCUCACAGAUUUCACCAUUGUGUUUGUGUUCGUGUGGCUCUUUGAGGUCAUCAUCUUGCUGUCUGUGUUAGUGGGGACAUUGUACAUCUACCCCAGAUUCUACAGGAAACAGAGAACACCAGAAAGACCAGGAAGCUCUGUAGACCUGGACCAGGAUUAGAAGAGGCAGACUGUGGCUGAUCUCCUCUACAUGAACAGUCAUCACUCUCCGUCUCAUCCAGACUGAAACAUGAGAAAAAUGUAACUGUAACUAUAACAGAUGAUUAACAGAGAAACUAAACUCACUUAAAUGAACAACUUACUCAGGCUCAUGAUUCCUGCAGAUUCACUGAAAAACUGAGUGCUUAUUUUGCUUAUGUUUUAUUUCUAAUAUUCUAACCACAAUUAAUGCUUUGAAUUUACUAUUAAAAUCCUAGCAACAAUUUAAUAUGUUAAAUAUUUUUGAAAUGUAAAUCCAAUUUUUGUGUCAUAUACUGUAUACUACACGGGUGA